rnacentral:rRNA from 1 species
GAUGAACGCUGGCGGCGUGCCUAAUACAUGCAAGUCGAGCGAACAGACGAGGAGCUUGCUCCUUUGACGUUAGCGGCGGACGGGUGAGUAACACGUGGGUAACCUACCUAUAAGACUGGGAUAAUUUCGGGAAACCGGAGCUAAUACCGGAUAAUAUUUCGAACCGCAUGGUUCGAUAGUGAAAGAUGGCUCUGCUAUCACUUAUAGAUGGACCUGCGCCGUAUUAGCUAGUUGGUAAGGUAACGGCUUACCAAGGCAACGAUACGUAGCCGACCUGAGAGGGUGAUCGGCCACACUGGAACUGAGACACGGUCCAGACUCCUACGGGAGGCAGCAGUAGGGAAUCUUCCGCAAAGGGCGAAAGCCUGACGGAGCAACGCCGCGUGAGUGAUGAAGGUCUUCGGAUCGUAAAACUCUGUUAUUAGGGAAGAACAAACGUGUAAGUAACUGUGCACGUCUUGACGGUACCUAAUCAGAAAGCCACGGCUAACUACGUG